UAUUGCACAAUGGGGGAAACCCUGAUGCAGCGACGCCGCGUGAGUGAAGAAGUAUUUCGGUAUGUAAAGCACUAUCAGCAGGGAAGAAAAUGACGGUACCUGAUUAAGAAGCUCCGGCUAUCUACGUGCCAGCAGCCGCGGUAAUACGUAGGGGGCAAGCGUUAUCCGGAUUUACUGGGUGUAAAGGGAGCGUAGACGGCAGCACAAGUCUGGAGUGAAAUGCCGGGGCUUAACCCCGGAACUGCUUUGGAAACUGUGCAGCUAGAGUGCAGGAGAGGUAAGUGGAAUUCCUAGUGUAGCGGUGAAAUGCGUAGAUAUUAGGAGGAACACCAGUGGCGAAGGCGGCUUACUGGACUGUAACUGACGCUGAUGCUCGAAAGUGUGGGUAUCAAACAGG
rnacentral:rRNA from 1 species